rnacentral:rRNA from 1 species
CAGCCGCCGCGGGAAUACGAAGGGUGCAAGCGUUACUCGGAAUUACUGGGCGUAAAGCGUGCGUAGGUGGUGGUUUAAGUCCGUUGUGAAAGCCCUGGGCUCAACCUGGGAAUUGCAGUGGAUACUGGGUCACUAGAGUGUGGUAGAGGAUAGUGGAAUUUCCGGUGUAGCAGUGAAAUGCGUAGAGAUCGGAAGGAACAUCUGUGGCGAAGGCGGCCAUCUGGGACAACACUGACGCUGAGGCACGAAAGCGUGGGGAGCAAACAGGAUUAGAUACCCGCGUAGUCCCUGUCUCUUAUAC